UGGGGAAUUUUGGACAAUGGGCGAAAGCCUGAUCCAGCAAUGCCGCGUGUGUGAAGAAGGCCUUCGGGUUGUAAAGCACUUUUGUCCGGAAAGAAAUCCUUGGCUCUAAUACAGUCGGGGGAUGACGGUACCGGAAGAAUAAGCACCGGCUAACUACGUGCCAGCAGCCGCGGUAAUACGUAGGGUGCAAGCGUUAAUCGGAAUUACUGGGCGUAAAGCGUGCGCAGGCGGUUUGCUAAGACCGAUGUGAAAUCCCCGGGCUCAACCUGGGAACUGCAUUGGUGACUGGCAGGCUAGAGUAUGGCAGAGGGGGGUAGAAUUCCACGUGUAGCAGUGAAAUGCGUAGAGAUGUGGAGGAAUACCGAUGGCGAAGGCAGCCCCCUGGGCCAAAUACUGACGCUCAUGCACGAAAAGCGUGGGGGAGCAAAACAGGAUUAGAUACCCUGGGUAGUCCACGCCCUAAAACGAUGUCAACUAGUUGUUGGGGAUUCAUUUCCUUAGUAACGUAGCUAACGCGUGAAGUUGACCGCCU
rnacentral:rRNA from 1 species